rnacentral:lncRNA from 1 species
GAUUCCCGGAACUUGUAGUCUAAGACGUUCUCCAACUCAGCCCCGCUGCGCAGGCGUAGUCGGGGAGCCCGCGCCUCCGCGCCCACUCCCAUCACUGCUGGCGCAUUGCCUUCUGGGGCUUGUAGUUUGCACUCCGGACGCACUCAGGCUUGAGGACAGUGCUGGAAAGCCUGACCGCGACUCGGUGUUUAGAAAGCUCAAUUUAGGGCUGGGCUUGGCACGUUUCACAUCUGUCUGACGGAGGUGGUUCUUCGUGUACUGGGCAGUCCUAACUCGCAGCCGCGCGUCAUCACCCGCAUUUCAUAGAUGAAAAAACUGAGUCUCGGGAAACUCACUCAAGGUCAAAAACUUUGUGAGGAGCAGAGCUCAUAAGAGCCCGCGGUCUCCAGAACCCCACAACAACAUCUGAAAAUAUGAGAGCAGCCGCCUCACCCGCAACAGGGGGAGCCCCUCCUGCCACCAGGGGACCGUCGCCGCCCCUCGCGAGAAGCUGCAGGCGUGGGGGGAGGCGAGGCAGGAUGGCUCGGUGGGCGGUGCCCGGGGCGGGGUCGGCCGUGCCUGGGCGGGGCCGGGUGGGAGGGGCAGUGCAUAAGGCCGGGAUGCGGGGCAGGGCCCGGCGGUGGGAGGACGGACUAAGGGGAGGUCCCCGUCCUGGGCCACGGGGCGAUGGCGCGGGUAGGACGCAUCCCUCAGAGGCCAGGAGGAGCGCGAGAAGGUCCCAGGACCCCCUUGGGAGGCGCCGCUCCCGAGAAUGUAGAGCCUGGGAGAUACCACCGCACGGAAUGGGGCAUUAGCCCACCAGGGAGCUUCGUCGGGAGAGGUCCAUGGAGCUGGAGCUGAGA